rnacentral:rRNA from 1 species
UACGUAGGGUGCAGGCGUUAAUCGGAAUUACUGGGCGUAAAGCGUGCGCAGGCGGUCUUUUAAGUCAGAUGUGAAAUCCCCGGGCUUAACCUGGGAACUGCGUUUGAAACUGGAAGGCUUGAGUGUGGCAGAGGGGGGUGGAAUUCCACGUGUAGCAGUGAAAUGCGUAGAGAUGUGGAGGAACACCGAUGGGCGAAGGCAGCCCCCUGGGCUAACACUGACGCUCAUGCACGAAAGCGUGGGGAGCAAACAGG